GCUUUAUCACAUUCCCUCCGUGCCAGCCUAGCAACCUGCUCUGGUCUGUUUCCUGUCCCAACGGGGAAGAGGGGACUAUGUCUUUAAUGUCCACCAUUGAUGUAAAAACUGACUCCUAAGAGUGUAAUCGACCCAGUUAUGAGGCUCCCUUCGGGUACUGGAAGGCCACAGCGAUGCAGGUUUGUAAUUGGCCUUUCCUGCUCCGAGAUGGCCCCAGCUGCUGUGCCAUGUUCCUGGCUCCCAGCUCUGAGGCGCUGACUACAGGUCUCCCAUUGCCCUGGAAGUUUGUAGUUACAAGAUAUUUCAGAGGCUCAAGACAUGUCUGUAAGCAGUAUUGAGGCAUGGAGAAAUGUAUAGAAACUGGUCAUGGUCUACAUGCAAUCCAGCUGCUCAGGACUGUGCAUCACUGCACAGAGUGCAAAAAUUUUAUGGAUUGUUUUCUUGCUCAUCAUUUAAUGAGAAGCAAAAUAUUCUUCAAACUGCCACAGAAGAAAAUAAUACAUACAAAAGGAUGGAGAAGGAAAUAGAACAGCACAUGCUAUAAAUUGAAUAAAAUAAAUACAAGGUAU